GAGUUUGAUCGUGGCUCAGAUUGAACGCUGGCGGCAUGCCUUACACAUGCAAGUCGAACGGCAGCAUGAUCUAGCUUGCUAGAUUGAUGGCGAGUGGCGAACGGGUGAGUAAUACAUCGGAACGUGCCCUGUAGUGGGGGAUAACUAGUCGAAAGAUUAGCUAAUACCGCAUACGACCUGAGGGUGAAAGUAGGGGACCGCAAGGCCUCAUGCUAUAGGAGCGGCCGAUGUCUGAUUAGCUAGUUGGUGGGUAAAGGCCCACCAAGGCGACGAUCAGUAGCUGGUCUGAGAGGACGAUCAGCCACACUGGGACUGAGACACGGCCCAGACUCCUACGGGAGGCAGCAGUGGGGAAUUUUGGACAAUGGGCGAAAGCCUGAUCCAGCAAUGCCGCGUGUGUGAAGAAGGCCUCGGUGUAAG
rnacentral:rRNA from 1 species